rnacentral:piRNA from 1 species
AUACUCGAUGCAAGAUGAAACGG